UACGUCACUUGUUUGGUUCUCUUCCUUUACUCGACGCGCCGAUGGCCGCUGCUCUCCUUAACUCCCCGCUCUCAAUCUCUACGCAAAAUCCCAAGAAAACACUAGGGAUUCCUCGGCAAGAUUUCCCUCUUCUCAACCCUCGCUUUUCCCUCUUUGAUCGCAGAAAACUGCUAUCGUCGCCGUUCUCCUUCUCAUCUCUUAUCCUCUCUAAAAGAAAUGGCGUCUUGAACCGGCUGCAAUCAGUUUCUGGCGGCCAUGUUUCCGCGAUUCCUGUUGAAUCGAAAAACUAUGAGUUCUCCGAUGGUGAUGCAGACGUAGAACUGAGACUUGAUAUUAGUAAAUUAGAUAUCAUGAGCCCCAGUGAUAUUUUUGUGGACAUGGAUGAGACUUCGUUAUUAGUUAGAGUAAAAGCUUCUGGGACUCUCAUAACUCUUAUGGAAACAAAUUGUUUGUUUGAGAGGAUAAAGCCUUCUGAAACUAUAUGGUAUAUAGAUGAGGAUCAGCUAGUAGUUAACCUGAAAAAGUGUGACAGAGAUUUAAAGUGGCCUGAUGUGAUGGAAUCCUGGGAGUCUCUUACAAAAGGAAUCCUGCAAUUACUGAAAGGAACUUCAAUCUACAUUGUUGGAGAUUCCACAGAGAUAAAUGAAAACGUUGGCAGUGAACUUGCAACUGGAAUUGGAUACAUUCCAUUUAGUACAAGUGACUUGCUGGAGAGAUAUGCUCAACAAUCUAUUGAGUCAUGGGUUGUUUCAGAUGGAGUAGAUUCUGUUGCUGAAGCUGAAGGUUCUAUAUUGCAAAGUCUUAGUAGCCAUGCCCGAAGCGUUGUUGCAACUCUAGGAGGAGAGCAUGGAGCUGCUAGAACACAUGAUAAGUGGCGGUACCUUCAUGCAGGAUUCACUGUUUGGUUGUCCAUAUCUGAAGCAGCAGAUGAAGCUUCUGCUAAGGAGGAGGCCAGAAGGCAUGUACAAGACGGAAGGCUUGCUUAUUCAAAUGCUGAUAUAGUUAUGAAGCUUGGUGGAUGGGAACCAGAUCAGUCGCGAGUUGUUGCUCAGGCUUGUUUAAGUGCACUGAAACAAUUAACCCUGUCAGACAGGCAGCUUACAGGUAAGAAGAGUCUUUACGUCAGAUUAGGGUGUCGUGGAGAUUGGCCAGACAUCAAGCCCCCAGGAUGGGAUCCAUCAAGUGGAGUACACCCUCCUGAGUCCUAAAAAAGCAAUCACGGGAUCUUGUGAUCUCUUCUCGUUAAGAGAAAAGUCGAAGUUCCAACGAGAACAUGCAUUGAGAGAUUGUUCCCCAGAAGUAAAUACAAGAAGAAUAGACACUCAGCCAGCAUUAUUAUGCUGUCAUCGCCUUAGUGGUCGGGUGAGUGGAAACCACAAAGGGUUGUGGCAACUUUUUAUCUUUUUCUCAUUCUUCCAUGCUUAUUUAUACACAAAGAUUGUAGAAUUGCGGCCAUCAAGCAGUGUCUCGGCUUGUGCUUGAUGGUGUUUCGCACCUUUCCCACCCAGGGAGGGAGGGAGACAAUUUUAUUUGAGGGAUGAUACCCACGAGACGUGGACUGUGCCCUCCA